ACUGACUGCAUACGUGGUUGACGUACCGAGCUUACACGUCCCAUGGUAUGAUGGCCCGAGACACUGCAGUGUCCAAUGCCAACGACCCGCUUAUCCAGUUUAGUAAGCCUGUUAUAAGUUACUUGGGCAGUAAAAUUUGUUAAGAAUAAUAUGAAUUAAAUGAAUGAAUAAGAAAGAAACUAGAAUUAGUUUUAAAAUUUUAUUUAUUAUGCAAUGAUUCAAAAUACCUAGAAAUAAAUUAGUGAAAUGAUACGAAGAUUUACAAAAGAAGUAGAACGUAAACAAAUAUUACAAAUGCGUCUCUCAUUUAAUAAAUGAAGGACAAAUUAGGAUAACCAAUAAUUUAAUCUUAAUAAUUUCACACGAAAUUAAAUUAAUUCUUGAGCAUCCAAAUAUUGCUUUGGUUUUAUCUUUAUUGUAAAUUAUUUUCUUUGUUAUAUUAUCGUACCACUAAGUACCAAUACCUAGCGCGAUGGAUUUGUUUCCUUAUGCAGGUACUGAAGGUAAAGCCCAGCGGA
rnacentral:misc_RNA from 1 species